rnacentral:rRNA from 1 species
UCGGGAAUUUUGGGCAAUGGGCGAAAGCCUGACCCAGCAACGCCGCGUGAAGGAUGAAGUCUUUCGGGAUGUAAACUUCGAAAGAAUAGGAAGAAUAAAUGACGGUACUAUUUUUAAGCCCCGGCUAACUCCGUGCCAGCAGCCGCGGUAAUACGGGGGGGGCAAGCGUUGUUCGGAUUUACUGGGCGUAAAGCGUAUGUAGGCGGUCGGGUAAGUUACUUGUGAAAUCUCCGAGCUUAACUCGGAACGGCCAAGUAAUACUGCAAGACUAGAGUGCAGAAGGGGCAAUUGGAAUUCUUGGUGUAGCGGUGAAAUGCGUAGAUAUCAAGAGGAACACCAGAGGCGAAGGCGAAUUGCUGGGCUGACACUGACGCUGAGAUACGAAAGCUAGGGGAGCAAACAG